GACGAACGCUGGCGGCGUGCUUAACACAUGCAAGUCUACGAGAACGAGGUAGCAAUAUCUUUAGUAAAGUGGCGCACGGGUGCGUAACACGUAAGCAAUCUACCUUUGGGUCUGGAAUAACUUCGAGAAAUCGAGGCUAAUACCGGAUAAUGCAUCGGCACCGCAUGGUGAUGUUGUUAAAGUUUGAGUAACGCCUAUAGAUGAGCUUGCGUCUGAUUAGCUAGUUGGUAGGGUAAAGGCCUACCAAGGCAACGAUCAGUAGCUGGUCUGGGAGGAUGAUCAGCCACACUGGAACUGAGACACGGUCCAGACUCCUACGGGAGGCAGCAGUGAGGAAUAUUGGGCAAUGCCCGCAAGGGUGACCCAGCAACGCCGCGUGGAGGAUGAAGGCCGUAAGGUUGUAAACUCCUGUUAGAGGAGAAGAAUAGUGCCGAUUGGAUCGGUAUUUGACUGUACCCUCAGAGAAAGCCCCGGCUAACUACGUGCCAGCAGCCGCAGUAACAC
rnacentral:rRNA from 1 species